UAUUCUUCUUGUUAGAGCUUGGAGUUGAGGCCACUGACUGGCCAAUGUGAACUCACAAGUGUAGAUAGGAUGCUAUGCAAGGGGCAAGUUUUUCACUAACACCGUAAGAUUCUCUGGGCCAACGAGGGGAGUUUAAUACAAAUUCUUGCUACAACU